GAUGGACGCUGGCGGCGUGCCUAAUACAUGCAAGUCGAGCGAACAGACGAGGAGCUUGCUCCUCUGACGUUAGCGGCGGACGGGUGAGUAACACGUGGAUAACCUACCUAUAAGACUGGGAUAACUUCGGGAAACCGGAGCUAAUACCGGAUAAUAUAUUGAACCGCAUGGUUCAAUAGUGAAAGACGGUUUUGCUGUCACUUAUAGAUGGAUCCGCGCCGCAUUAGCUAGUUGGUAAGGUAACGGCUUACCAAGGCAACGAUGCGUAGCCGACCUGAGAGGGUGAUCGGCCACACUGGAACUGAGACACGGUCCAGACUCCUUCGGGAGGCAGCAGUAGGGAAUCUUCCGCAAUGGGCGAAAGCCUGACGGAGCAACGCCGCGUGAGUGAUGAAGGUCUUCGGAUCGUAAAACUCUGUUAUUAGGGAAGAACAAAUGUGUAAGUAACUAUGCACGUCUUGACGGUACCUAAUCAGAAAGCCACGGCUAACUACGUG
rnacentral:rRNA from 1 species